rnacentral:tRNA from 3 species
AGGCGCGUAGCUCAACUGGUAGAGCACUCGUCUCCAAAACGAGAGGUUCCAGGUUCGAGACCUGGCGCGCCUG